GGGACCAAGGCUCAGUGGUAGAGCAUCUGCUUUGCAUGCAGAAGUUCAGAGGUUCAAUCUCCGGUAUCUCCA